rnacentral:rRNA from 1 species
AGCAGUCGCCGCGGUAAUACGUAGGUGGCAAGCGUUAUCCGGAAUUAUUGGGCGUAAAGCGCGCGUAGGCGGUUUUUUAAGUCUGAUGUGAAAGCCCACGGCUCAACCGUGGAGGGUCAUUGGAAACUGGAAAACUUGAGUGCAGAAGAGGAAAGUGGAAUUCCAUGUGUAGCGGUGAAAUGCGCAGAGAUAUGGAGGAACACCAGUGGCGAAGGCGACUUUCUGGUCUGUAACUGACGCUGAUGUGCGGAAGCGUGGGGAUCAAACAGGAUUAGAUACCCCUGUAGUCCCUGUCUCUUAUAC